AUCCAGCUGACUUCUCCAAAAUAGAACGAAACGCGCUUCCUGGAU
rnacentral:hammerhead_ribozyme from 1 species